rnacentral:rRNA from 1 species
UACGGAGGGAGCUAGCGUUGUUCGGAAUUACUGGGCGUAAAGCGCGCGUAGGCGGCUUUGUAAGUUAGAGGUGAAAGCCCGGAGCUCAACUCCGGAACUGCCUUUAAAACUGCAUCGCUUGAAUCCAGGAGAGGUGAGUGGAAUUCCGAGUGUAGAGGUGAAAUUCGUAGAUAUUCGGAAGAACACCAGUGGCGAAGGCGGCUCACUGGCUCGGUACUGACGCUGAGGUGGCGAAAGCGUUGGGGAGCAAACAGG